AAUAUGUAAAAAUGGAAGCACUCAGACUUAAGAAUCCGGGAAACUUCACCUGGCAUAGCUCUUUCUCGAUUCUGUUGGGGGUGGUGCAUGGCCGUUCUUAGUUGGAGUGAUUUGUCUGGUUAAUUCCGAUAACGAACAAGACUCUGGCAUGCUAACUAGUUACGCAACCCCCGAGUGGACUUCCAGAAAGCUAGCCAAACUCUAGAACCAGAACCCCUUGUAGUCCUCAACCUGAGCUCCACAAGCCAGAGAGCACUGCUGAAGAUAACAGUUAAUCCAGAUGGACAGAAGGUGGAACUUCUUAAGAAGAUAGCCUUGCAACUGGGCUCACAAAGAGAAGAUCAAGAAGCAGUCAAGCCAGCUUC
rfam:Sarcophilus harrisii ctg7180001489363, whole genome shotgun sequence.